GCUCUGUGAUGAACCUCAUGCGUGUCAUCUGAGCCUGGCUUCCCUGUUGCAGCUCAGGUAGUGUUCUACUUCCCCGGGCUGUUUGGCCUGGCAGGGGUGACCCAGGCAAAGGAUCAGUCUUAGAAUUCUGAGAGC
ensembl:snoRNA SNORD10 small nucleolar RNA, C/D box 10